UGGGUUGCUUGCAAGGGCGUGUGGUGGAUGCCUUGGCGGACAGGACCGAUGAAGGACGUAGCGGGCUGCGAUAAGCCUCGGGGAGCCGUCGAGCGGGCUUUGAUCCGAGGAUUUCCGAAUGGGGGAACCCGGCCACCGUCAUGGGUGGUCACCGGCUUUGGCCGGGGGGUACGCAGGGAAGUGAAACAUCUCAGUACCUGCAGGAAAGGAUAUUCCGUGAGUAGUGGCGAGCGAAAGCGGAUCAGGCCAAACCACGCGCGUGUGAUAGGCGCCGGCCGUUGCGCGCGUGGUGUUGUGGGAGAAUGCGUCCGAGCCUCCGGCGGGCUUGGCGGCAGUGAUAAAACCGUGUGCGAGGCGAACCGGAUUGGAUGCCGGGCCGCAGAGGGUGAUGGCCCCGUAGCCGUACGCGCAUGGUCUGCCGGUCGUUUUUCCCAAGUAGCGCGGGCCUCGUGGAAUCCCGCGUGAAUCCGCCCAGACCGUUGGGUAAGCCUAAAUAUUCCUGUCCGACCGAUAGCGUACUAGUACCGUGAGGGAAAGGUGAAAAGCACCCCGGGAGGGGAGUGAAACAGUUCCUGAAACCGUGCGCCUACAAACCGUCGGAGCCUUUCGGGGUGACGGCGUGCCUAUCGAAAAAUGAGUCUGCGAGUCAGUGGCAUGUGGCGAGCGUAACCCGUGUGGGGUACGCGUAGCGAAAGCGAGUCUUAAAAGGCGUUUUGAGUCGCGUGUCCUGGACCCGAAGCGGGAUGAUCUAGCCCUGAGCAGGUUGAAGCGCGGGUAAGACCGCGUGGAGGACCGGACCCACCUGGGUUGAAAACCGGGGGGAUGACUUGGGGUUAGGGGUGAAAGGCCAAUCAAAUUCCGUGAUAGCUGGUUCUCUCCGAAAUGCAUUUAGGUGCAGCGUCGGAUUCAUUACAUCCGGGGGGUAGAGCUACUGGAUGCUUGCGGGCCCGUACUGGGUACCAACAGCAACCAAACUCCGAAUACCCGUGAUGCGUAUCCCGGCAGUGAGUCGGCGGGGGAUAAGCUCCGUCGUCGAAAGGGAAACAGCCCAGAUCGUCGUCUAAGGUCCCCAAGCGUGUGCUAAGUGGGAAAGGAUGUGGAGUCGCAUAGACAGCCAGGAGGUUGGCUCAGAAGCAGCCAUCCUUGAAAGAGUGCGUAACAGCUCACUGGUCUAGUGGUUCCGCGCCGACAAUGUAGCGGGGCUCAAGCACACCACCGAAGACGCGGCAGCAUGCCUUUGGCGUGCUGGGUAGGAGAGCGUCCUGUCAGGGGCGAAGCGGCGGCGCAAGCCGGCCGUGGACUUGGCGGGAGUGAGAAUGC
rfam:Bifidobacterium scardovii strain LMG 21589 Contig08, whole genome shotgun sequence.